UACGGGGGGGGCAGCGUUGUUCGGAAUUACUGGGCGUAAAGGGUUUGUAGGUGGUCUGCUAAGUCAGACGUGAAAUCCCUCAGCUUAACUGGGGAACUGCGUCUGAUACUGGCGGACUUGAGGACAGGAGAGGAACGCGGAAUUCCAGGUGUAGCGGUGAAAUGCGUAGAUAUCUGGAGGAACACCCGUGGCGAAGGCGGCUCUCGUGGAACGCAACUGACGCUGAGACGCGAAAGCGUGGGGAGCAACAGGA
rnacentral:rRNA from 1 species